rnacentral:rRNA from 1 species
UGCGAACUCCUACGGGAGGCAGCAGUGGGGAAUUUUGGACAAUGGGGCAACCCUGAUCCAGCAAUGCCGUGUGAGUGAAGAAGGCCUUCGGGGUGUAAAGCCCUUUUGGCAGGGAAAAAACGGUAGUAGCUAAUAUUUAUUACUAAUGACGGUACCUGAAGAAUAAACACCGGCUAACUACGUGCCAGCAGCCGCGGUAAUACGUAGGGUGCAAGCGUUAAUCGGAAUUACUGGGCGUAAAGCGUGCGCAGGCGGUUGUGUAAGUCAGAUGUGAAAUCCCCGGGCUCAACCUGGGAAUUGCAUUUGAGACUGCACGGCUAGAGUGUGUCAGAGGGGGGUAGAAUUCCACGUGUAGCAGUGAAAUGCGUAGAUAUGUGGAGGAAUACCGAUGGCGAAGGCAGCCCCCUGGGAUAACACUGACGCUCAUGCGCGAAAGCGUGGGGAGCAAACAGGAUUAGAAACCCUGGUAGUCCAGAUG